UACGAGGGGGGCGAGCGUUGUUCGGAAUUAUUGGGCGUAAAGGGCGCGUAGGCGGUGCGGUAAGUCACCUGUGAAACCUCUGGGCUUAACUCAGAGCCUGCAGGCGAAACUGCCGUGCUGGAGUGUGGGAGAGGUGCGUGGAAUUCCCGGUGUAGCGGUGAAAUGCGUAGAUAUUGGGAGGAACACCAAUAGCGAAGGCAGCUCGCUGGGAGGUAUUGACGCUAAGGCGCGAAAGCGUGGGGAGCAAACAGG
rnacentral:rRNA from 1 species